GACGUAGGGCGCGAGCGUUGUCCGGAUUUAUUGGGCGUAAAGAGCUCGUAGGCGGCCUGUUGCGUCCGCUGUGAAAUCCCGGGGCUCAACCCCGGGCCUGCAGUGGAUACGGGCUGGCUAGAGGCAGGCAGGGGAGAACGGAAUUCCUGGUGUAGCGGUGAAAUGCGCAGAUAUCAGGAGGAACACCGGUGGCGAAGGCGGUUCUCUGGGCCGGUACUGACGCUGAGGAGCGAAAGCGUGGGGAGCGAACAGG
rnacentral:rRNA from 1 species